rnacentral:rRNA from 1 species
UGGGGAAUAUUGCACAAUGGAGGGAACUCUGAUGCAGCGACGCCGCGUGAGUGAUGAAGGAAUUCGUUUCGUAAAACUCUGUUCUAUGGGAAGAAAAGGACUGUACCAUAGGAGAAAGCUCCGGCUAAAUACGUGCCAGCAGCCGCGGUAAUACGUAUGGAGCGAGCGUUGUCCGGAAUUAUUGGGCGUAAAGGGUGCGCAGGCGGCUUUACAAGUUGGAUGUGAAAUAUUGUGGCUCAACCACAAACGUGCAUCCAAAACUGCAAAGCUUGAGUUAAGGAGAGGUAAGUGGAAUUCCUGGUGUCGCGGUGGAAUGCGUAGAUAUCAGGAGGAAUACCGGUGGCGAAGGCGACUUACUGGACUUAAACUGACGCUCAGGCACGAAAGCGUGGGGAGCAAACAGG